AAACGUCACUUCCGCUCUGGCCGGAUAUUAUCUUCCAUCUUCACCAUGGUUCCUCCUGUCGCGGUGUCGCCGCUCAUUAAGACGGCCAGAUGGUCUGCCCUGCUGCUGGGUGCGUUCUACGGCAAGCAGAGGUUUGACUACCUCAAACCCAUUGCUGAGGAGGAGAGGAAGGUAGAGGAAGCAGAGAAGAAACUCAGAGAAGAGCAGGAGCGCAUCUACAAGCAGCUUUCUGAAGCAAAUUCUGAGUCCAUUCUCCAGUGAACACUCACCGGACCAGUCUCAUCAUGUUCCAAUCUAAA